rnacentral:rRNA from 1 species
UAUGUGAUCGUCUCUCGCAUAUCAAUAAGCGGAGGAAAAGAAACUAACAAGGAUUCCCCUAGUAACGGCGAGUGAAGCGGGAAGAGCUCAAAUUUGAAAUCUUAAAGGGUUUCCCUUUACGAAUUGUAGUUUAAAGAAGUGUUUUCUGUUGAGGUUUUGGUAAAAGUUCUUUGGAAUAGGACAUCAUAGAGGGUGAGAAUCCCGUAUUUGACCUUUACUUUCAACUUUGUGAUACACUUUCAAAGAGUCGGAUUGUUUGGGAAUGCAGUCCAAAAUGGGUGGUAAAUUUCAUCUAAAGCUAAAUAUUGGCGGGAGACCGAUAGCGAACAAGUACCGUGAGGGAAAGAUGAAAAGAACUUUGAAAAGAGAGUUAAACAGUACGUGAAAUUGUCAAAAGGGAAGCGUUUGACACCAGUGUUGUUUUUCUGAAAAUCAAUUAAAGAACUGUUUAUGCUGAGUUGGUUAGACUUUAUCAGCUAACUGUUUAGUUUUGAGCUUUUCUUUAAUGCACUUUUCAGUUAACAAGUCAACAUCAAUUUCUUUUGCUGUAAAAAAGCUUGAGGAGGGUGGCUUGAGAUUCGUCUUAAGUGUUUAUAGCCUCUUGCCUAUGCAGUCGGAGAGAUUGAGGUCUGCAGCGUAGAUCCUUCGGGGCUAAAUGCAUUUGUGCUAAGUUAUAGCAUUUUAUAGACAACUUGUUGACUAUGAUUUGUCUUGUAGCUUACUCGCUUAUGUUAUUUUACCUACGCUUAGGAUGUUGACACACGCGCGUGCUCG